rnacentral:rRNA from 1 species
AAAAACAUCGCCUCUUGACUAUAAUAAGAGGUCCAGCCUGCCCAGUGAAUUUUAAACGGCCGCGGUAUCCUAACCGCGCGAAGGUAGCAUAAUCACUUGUUCUUUAAAUGGGGACUCGUAUCAACGGCAUCACGAGGGUUUUACUGUCUCCUCUUUUUGAUCAGUGAAAUUGAUCUUCCCGUGAAGAAGCGGGAAUAUUUAUAUAAGACGAGAAGACCCCAUGGAGCUUCAAACCAAAUAACAACUUAACCACUUAACCCAUAAUAAAUUUAAGCCAUGUUAUAAGGUUUUGGGUUGGGGUGACCGCGGAGUAAAGCACAUCCUCCACGACGGAAAGAACACAAUCUUUAUUUAAGAACUACAAUUCUAGAAAUUAGUAUACUAACGUUUACUGACCCGAUAAUCGAUCAACGGACCAAGUUACCCUGGGGAUAACAGCGCAAUCUACUUCAAGAGCUCAUAUCGACAAGUAGGCUUACGACCUCGAUGUUGGAUCAGGGUAUCCCGGUGGUGCAGCCGCUACCGAAGGUUCGUUUGUUCAACGAUUAAAACCCUACGUGAUCUGA